GCAUCUCCCUUACACUGAGAAGUUACUUGUGCAAAUCAGGUUAUUCU
rnacentral:tRNA from 1 species